rnacentral:rRNA from 1 species
CCUACGGGUGGCAGCAGUGGGGAAUAUUGGGCAAUGGGCGCAAGCCUGACCCAGCAACGCCGCGUGAAGGAAGAAGGCUUUCGGGUUGUAAACCUCUUUUGACAGGGAAGAGUAGAAGACGGUACCUGUCGAAUAAGCCACGGCUAACUACGUGCCAGCAGCCGCGGUAAUACGUAGGUGGCAAGCGUUGUCCGGAUUUACGGGGUGUAAAGGGCGUGUAGGCGGGUUGACAAGUCAGAUGUGAAAUCCUGCGGCGUAACCGCAGAACUGCAUUUGAAACUGUUGAUCUUGAGUACUGGAGAGGUAGACGGGAUGCGUGGUGUAGCGGUGAAAUGCGUAGAUAUUAGGAAGAACGCCAGUGGCGAAGGCG